rnacentral:rRNA from 1 species
AGUGAACGCUGGCGGUAGGCCUAACACAUGCAAGUCGAACGGCAGCACAGUAAGAGCUUGCUCUUACGGGUGGCGAGUGGCGGACGGGUGAGGAAUACAUCGGAAUCUACUUUUUCGUGGGGGAUAACGUAGGGAAACUUACGCUAAUACCGCAUACGACCUACGGGUGAAAGCAGGGGAUCUUCGGACCUUGCGCGAUUGAAUGAGCCGAUGUCGGAUUAGCUAGUUGGCGGGGUAAGGCCCACCAAGGCGACGAUCCGUAGCUGGUCUGAGAGGAUGAUCAGCCACACUGGAACUGAGACACGGUCCAGACUCCUACGGGAGGCAGCAGUGGGGAAUAUUGGACAAUGGGCGCAAGCCUGAUCCAGCUAUACCGCGUGGGUGAAGAAGGCCUUCGGGUUGUAAAGCCCUUUUGUUGGGAAAGAAAAGCAGCAGGUUAAUACCCCGCUGUUCUGACGGUACCCAAAGAAUAAGCACCGGCUAACUUCGUG